UCUCUCAAUCGCAUGUACCUUUAGAAACCCAUCUAUCAUUGCCUGCAAGAGUGCAAUCUCGUCGGAAACUUCUGGUCGUAAAAACAUGAUUCCUUCAUUUCUUCACCUAAAACCCUAUCGAUUAUUCAUUAGAUCAUCAACUCCGGCCCCACUCCUUCUGCCGCAACGCUGUCUUCAUUGACCGGAACUAGAUAUAUCAGUUGCGUUUCGAAACUUCUCCUAAGGAAUCCGGUAAAAUCGAGAUUUACUUUGGAUUUAUCAUAGCUCAUGUUGCUGCUAGGGGAAUUGGUGCUGACAUAAAUUUCAAUCUGAAUGAUUUUGAGGAUGAUCUUAAACAGAGAGCUUCUGAUUGUGUUUUUGUCUCCGACUGGGACAUCUACUGCCGCUUCAAAUUCAAGGAAAGUUGCUAAUGGUUCUGCUUCGACGGUUUCAACGAAUUACUCAAAGAUUUUUACUUUGGGUUUUGGUUCUCGAGGUGGUCUUUACUCUUUUUUUUUGUGUGAUUUCGCAGACCGUGUAUAAAGGCAGAAAGAAGAAGACAAUUGAGUAUUUCGCGAUUAAAAGUGUCGGUAAAUCUCAGAAAAACAAGGUUCUUCCAGAAGAUUCUUCACACUUUGGAUCACCAAAAUUUGCUCAAUUUUUAUUCAUGGAGGAUCGUGCAGCUAGAGUGAUGGUUCCUAGGAAUCAUAUGCACUAUGUGGAAAACGGUAACUCUUCAUUGCAUCACAAAGGUAUGAGCAUGUAGAAAGCUAGCAUGGGGUGAAACAGGAUGAGAGUCUCAAUAAUUCAAACUGUGGUGAAGUCGUGCAGACUGCCUCAACUCCUACAACUGCCAAUUACUCUCUAGAAAAAGUAGAAACAUGAUUUGAUUUUUAUCCUUGUUUAUAAUGAUUGGUUUGUAUGAAAUUUGUGCAGAGAAAGAGUGUUUGUGCCGACUGUCGCACUUGAGUUAGAUUUUUUCUGUGCAACUGGAGUCACUUUUGAGAACACAGUGGUUGCAUCAGCAGGUGGCAAAGGAAUGCAGGUUGCUGAAGGUUUAGAUGAUUUGAAGAUAGUACUGCUUAUUGAGUUCAUAGUUUUUACCUCUGUCUUAUAUAUGUUGGUCCAUUGUUGAUUCAUAGUUUUAUUGAGUUCACAUCAAGGAAAGAUAGUACUACUGGUGAAGGUAUUGUUUUGAUAUUGAUCCUUUUUGUAGCAAAAUCAACUGAAGUGCUUAGUGCCCAUCAAUACAACUUCCAAUUUCAGAAACUCGGUAUGCUUAUUCGCUCAAGCAUAAUCACUUCGGUUUACAAAAAGGGUUUAAGAUUGUCGAGUUCUUCAAGAUAAACUCAUGGAA